rnacentral:rRNA from 1 species
CAGUCGCCGCGGUAAUACGUAGGGUGCGAGCGUUAAUCGGAAUUACUGGGCGUAAAGCGUGCGCAGGCGGUUUUGUAAGACAGGCGCGAAAUCCCCGGGCUCAACCUGGGAAUGGCGCUUGUGACUGCAAAGCUAGAGUGCGGCAGAGGGGGAUGGAAUUCCGCGUGUAGCAGUGAAAUGCGUAGAUAUGCGGAGGAACACCGAUGGCGAAGGCAAUCCCCUGGGCCUGCACUGACGCUCAUGCACGAAAGCGUGGGGAGCAAACAGGAUUAGAUACCCCCGUAGUCCCUGUCUCUUAUAC